rnacentral:lncRNA from 1 species
AAUCCAUGUGUGCAGAGUGGUUGACAUGUCACUAUGUGUUCCAGUAGCUCAGCUUGCUAAGUGCAGAACUUGAGACACAGUGUUUUAGUUCUGAAGGGGGGUAGGGAUGGGAGUAAUCCAAAUGUUGGGUAAUUCAGUAAUUGGACACACCUGACUUUUGAACACAUUAUGUGAUUGAGGUUAGUAUUAACAUCUUGCCACUGCCUAUUAACAUUUUGCAAGGGUAGAUAGUUUCCUUCAUCAGAUACAUAUCGAAAGCAGUUUAGUUGCUCAUACCAGAAGAGGGAAGUCAAGCUGGGUUUAACAAUGUGUUGUGAGUUGCUGGGGAGAUGACUAAGAGAAGAUUGACAGAUAGAUGGUUUGAGGGAGUUAGGAAAAGCACUGUUUGAAAUGUUCCCUGGGAGUUCAGAAGAGUGACGGGAGUGGCCCUGCCAGUGUGGUCAAGAUUUACUCCUCCUUGAAGAUGUGAAACCUCCUAGAAACAAGGAAAAUAAGCUGGGAGGCAGAAUGAUUUUUAUUUGGGGACAUCCUCCCCUAUAAAGGCAGGAACUGCUAAAGGGUUUGGGAAGAGGAAAUCCUCCUUCAGCUUGUAUCAGAAUUACCUGGCUUGUGGGUUAAACAUAUACACCCCCAGGCCCUACCGCUAUAUGACUGAAUCUGUUCCCCGCCGGAACUAGGCCCUGAAAUCUAUACGUGUGAUAGGUGUUUCCACGGCUGUUACAUCUAAAAAUCACCCCGCAACUCUGCGUCUGAGAAAGUCAAGAGAAGGCUCCUGGGGGGAGGGAAGUACUGGCAGAGGGCUCACAAGGGCAGGGGUAGCCAUGCAGCCUGUCCUUCCCAUUCAACUGUAAAAUGGAGAAAAUAACAGAGCCUGCUUCCUAGGGUGGUCAAGAGGGCCUAUGCCCAGCACUGCUACAACCCCUUCGUGAUCUCUCAGGCUUAUGACAUCACUGUCUCCGUACACAGAUGACCCACCCUCCUGCUUUGCUAAUAAGAUCCAGCCCAUCUUCAAGCUCCUCUGCCCAGAAAGGGAAACGUUAAAACAAAAACAGAAACAUCUAAGAAGGCACUUGCAAGUUAAGCAGCAAGAGAGAAAGUAAAGUCCCAGAUGGCCUGCAGUGGGGCAGGAGGGAGAAGGUGGAAAGCCUGCCCAGAAGAAUUGAUCCUUUGUCACCAAACACAGCCCCUGCAUCCACAUCCUCAUUGACAGUUCCAGAGGCCAGAAGUCCCAAAUUAAGGUGUUGGCAGAGCCACGGUCUCUCUGAAGACUUUAGCAGAAGAUCCUUGCUUCCUCUUCACCUUCUGCCUUGAUUCUAAGGUUCCUGAG